rnacentral:tRNA from 1 species
CUCACUUUAGCUCAGCUGGAAGAGCAUGAGACUGUAAUGGAUGCAUAGCAAAUCUCAGGGUCGCCUGUUCGAGCCAGGCAAGUGAGA